AGUGAACGCUGGCGGCAGGCCUAACACAUGCAAGUCGAGCGGAUGAAGGGUGCUUGCUCCUGGUUUCAGCGGCGGACGGGUGGGUGAUUCCUAGGAAUAUGGCUGUUAGUUGUGUAUAACGUGCGGACACGGGCGCUCAUACCACAUACGUGCUUAGGGCGAACGUGUGGGAUCUUCGGACCUCACGCUAUCGGACGAGCCGAUGUCGGAUUAGCGAGUUGGCGGGGUAAAGGCCUACCAAGGCGACGAUCCGUAACUGGUCUGAGAGGAUGAUCAGCCACACUGGAACUGAGACACGGUCCAGACUCCUACGGGAGGCAGCAGUGGGGAAUAUUGGACAAUGGGCGCAAGCCUGAUCCAGCCAUGCCGCGUGUGUGAAGAAGGUCUUCGGAUUGUAAAGCCCUUUUGUUGGGGAGGAAGAGCAGUAAGUUAAUACCCCGCUGUUCUGACGGUACCAAAAGAAUAAGCACCGGCUAACUUCGUG
rnacentral:rRNA from 1 species